AUUCUAGUCCCUCCGUUGCACAAUACAUGCCUUCUAUUUGUCAAAAUAUAUAUGUAUCUAGACAUGUUUUAGUAUAUAGGUACAUCCAUUUUUGGACAAAUGGAAGUCAAGUAUUUUGGAACGGAGGGAGUACACA
rnacentral:pre_miRNA from 1 species